UUAAGUAAAAUUUGAACGUUUGUUGAGUUGGAACAUUUGUCUAUGUUUGCCGCUAGGGCCACUGUUCCGGCUGCAUACAAGUUUCGGGUA
rnacentral:pre_miRNA from 1 species